rnacentral:rRNA from 1 species
UACAGAGGGUGCGAGCGUUGUCCGGAAUCACUGGGCGUAAAGGGCGCGUAGGCGGCCUGAUAAGUAGGGGGUGAAAUCCUGUGGCUCAACUGCAGGGCUGCCUCCUAGACUGUCGGGCUUGAGCACGGUAGAGGCAGAUGGAAUUCCCGGUGUAGCGGUGGAAUGCGUAGAGAUCGGGAAGAACAUCGGUGGCGAAGGCGGUCUGCUGGGCCGGUAUUGACGCUGAGGCGCGAAAGCCAGGGGAGCAAACGGG